GACGUAGGGAGCAAGCGUUGUCCGGAAUUACUGGGCGUAAAGAGCUCGUAGGCGGGAGCGUAAGUCUGGAAGGAAAUCUCAAGGCUCAACUUUGGGGCUUUUUCAGAUACUGCGUUUCUUGAGGGUAUCAGAGGAUAGUAGAAUUCCCGGUGUAGCGGUGAAAUGCGUAGAUAUCGGGAGGAAUACCAGUGGCGAAGGCGACUGUCUGGGAUAUUCCUGACGCUGAGGAGCGAAAGCGUGGGGAGCAAACAGG
rnacentral:rRNA from 1 species